rnacentral:rRNA from 1 species
ACACGUGAGCAAUCUGCCCCUGACUCUGGGAUAAGCGCUGGAAACGGCGUCUAAUACCGGAUACGAGCUGCGAAGGCAUCUUCAGCAGCUGGAAAGAACUUCGGUCAGGGAUGAGCUCGCGGCCUAUCAGCUAGUUGGUGAGGUAAUGGCUCACCAAGGCGUCGACGGGUAGCCGGCCUGAGAGGGUGACCGGCCACACUGGGACUGAGACACGGCCCAGACUCCUACGGGAGGCAGCAGUGGGGAAUAUUGCACAAUGGGCGCAAGCCUGAUGCAGCAACGCCGCGUGAGGGACGACGGCCUUCGGGUUGUAAACCUCUUUUAGCAAGGAAGAAGCGAAAGUGACGGUACUUGCAGAAAAAGCGCCGGCUAACUACGUGCCAGCAGCCGCGGUAAUACGUAGGGCGCAAGCGUUAUCCGGAAUUAUUGGGCGUAAAGAGCUCGUAGGCGGUUUGUCGCGUCUGCUGUGAAAACCCGAGGCUCAACCUCGGGCCUGCAGUGGGUACGGGCAGACUAGAGUGCGGUAGGGGAGAUUGGAAUUCCUGGUGUAGCGGUGGAAUGCGCAGAUAUCAGGAGGAACACCGAUGGCGAAGGCAGAUCUCUGGGCCGUAACUGACGCUGAGGAGCGAAAGGGUGGGGAGCAAACAGGCUUAGAUACCCUGGUAGUCCACCCCGUAAACGUUGGGAACUAGUUGU